rnacentral:rRNA from 1 species
CCUACGGGAGGCUGCAGUGAGGAAUAUUGGUCAAUGGACGAGAGUCUGAACCAGCCAAGUAGCGUGAAGGAUGACUGCCCUCUGGGUUGUAAACUUCUUUUAUAUGGGAAUAAAAUGUUCCACGUGUGGGAUUUUGUAUGUACCAUAUGAAUAAGGAUCGGCUAACUCCGUGCCAGCAGCCGCGGUAAUACGGAGGAUCCGAGCGUUAUCCGGAUUUAUUGGGGUUAAAGGGAGCGUAGGUGGAUUGUUAAGUCAGUUGUGAAAGUUUGCGGCUCAACCGUAGAAUUGCAGUUGAAACUGGAAGUCUUGAGUACAGGAGAGGUGGGCGGAAUUCGUGGUGUAGCGGUGAAAUGCUUAGAUAUCACGAAGAACUCCGAUUGCGAAGGCAGCUCACUGGACUGCAACUGACACUGAGGCUCGAAAGUGUGGGUAUCAAACAGGAUUAGAUACCCGGGUAGUC